AUCAGAUUGAAGGAUCAGGAGGGAGGAUGUUCACUCUCUCUACAGCCAAUGAGGACAUGGAGGCCUACACAAAGCUCACAGACAACGUGUUUGAGGAAAUACUGAAGUCUUCCUGCUCAGAGCUA